rnacentral:rRNA from 1 species
CCUACGGGGGGCUGCAGUGGGGAAUAUUGGACAAUGGGGGCAACCCUGAUCCAGCCAUGCCGCGGGUGUGAAGAAGGCCCUCGGGUUGUAAAGCACUUUCAGUGAGGAAGAACGCCUGGUGGUUAAUACCCAUCAGGAAAGACAUCACUCACAGAAGAAGCACCGGCUAACUCCGUGCCAGCAGCCGCGGUAAUACGGAGGGUGCGAGCGUUAAGCGGAAUUACUGGGCGUAAAGCGCGCGUAGGUGGCUUGAUAAGCCGGUUGUGAAAGCCCCGGGCUCAACCUGGGAACGGCAUCCGGAACUGUCAAGCUAGAGUGCAGGAGAGGAAGGUAGAAUUCCCGGUGUAGCGGUGAAAUGCGUAGAGAUCGGGAGGAAUACCAGUGGCGAAGGCGGCCUUCUGGACUGACACUGACACUGAGGUGCGAAAGCGUGGGUAGCAAACAGGAUUAGAUACCCGAGUAGUC